GCAUUGGUGGUUCAGUGGUAGAAUUCUCACCUGCCAUGCGGGAGACCCGGGUUCGAUUCCAGGCUAAUGCA
rnacentral:tRNA from 1 species